CGGCGGACCCAAUCCUCUUUGAUGAAGAAGAGGGCCACGGCGGACCCAAUCCUCUUUGAUGAAGAAGAGGGCCACGGCGGACCCCCUCCCUCCUUGAUGAAGAUGCCCCUUUGCCCCAGGAUGUCUUAAGCUUGACUGCUGUGGCCUGAACCUGCCUCUGUGCCAACGGAUAAAGACUACCAAGGUACUACUACCACAGCACAUGCCUCCCUCCCUGAUGAAGACGGCCACAGCGGACCCCCCCUCCCUCCUUGAAGAAGAUGCCCCUUUGCCCCAGGAUGUCUUGAGCUGGAAUUCUGUGGCGUGACCUGAGGUCAAAGUCUACUGCCCCGACCUCCAGACCUAACCUCCAACUGGAGCAAGUCACCCACAGGACAUGGUCGACCAUCCAGUUUAACGAGGAUUGUGCCACCGCGUGUGGGGGGGGGGGUUCAGAGUCAGGGUCACACGUAGUCAGUCAGUUAUUUUAAUUGUUUUUUUGUUUUUUUUAUUGAAAGUUUGUUGGCGAUACAUAGGUUGUUUGAAAGUUGUUGAACGUAGUUAUGCUGAUGUGUUGGAUGUUCUACCUCAGUACGUUUUAAUCAACCUGGGAUGAAAGCAGAAUAACGUAGUCAUUUGAACAGGAUUUCUUACAUGAUGUGAACUGUUGAGGUUUUGCUAAUGGAUGAUUUUAUUGACUGGUUUUUGAGGAGUUGUUUGAAUUUAAAUUUUACGACAGUUAGUUUGCUUCGAUACUGGUUAAUUUUAACUGAUUGUGUAUUCAGCCCAUGGAUGAUGUAUUAUGAAAAAUAUUCAGUCUUCAUUGGCAUCGGACUGUUUGCUAUCAAAUUAUUGAUUAAUUCAUCACACAUUAAAUAUCUGCUUAUUUAGUUGACUGGUUCCAUUGUAUUAAAGAUGGAGGUACGUGGGCCAGUUGUGUUUAGACUUUCACCACCAAAAUGUUCCUGUUUAUUGCAAUUUACAGAUAAUUGGGAAAAGUUUAAAGCUGCCUUGUCUCACUCUGCCAAGUUUAAUUCCAACUGAAGACUCAAGUUGAACCUUUCUGUUCAAUUAAGUUUAGUAUCAUGAUGGGAGGCCUCCCAGCAGGGGAAUUUAACCCACCCCUGCAAAUCGUUAUGACACUUGCGUACGUUAAACAUAAUCCGUGAUGCAGGGACACUUCUGGACAGUUUCAUACGUGGGAUUGUCUUCACUCUGUAGGAAGGGCACAGGAUAGGAGCGCGUUUGGGUUGUUUGGGACGAGCUAAACUUGGCAGAGAGACAACUCAUUUAAACUUUAUUCUAAUUUAUGACCAAAUUGAGGUGAACCAGGUUGAUGCCAGGUUCUCCUGAGUUACCAGUUAUUGACAUAUCUCAAACUAAGGCAUUAUACCGUGGGCUGAAUUCUAGAUGUCUUGUUCAACUGUAUUUGUAUGUAUGGGAUAAGUACAUAGGAUUUUGGUUUCGUGACUAUGGUUGUAGACCGUUGGUAAGUGCCCUCCUGUGGCAGAAGUGUGCAGCUGCAGUAUUAAGUGUUGAUUUCAUUAGUGGAAGCUUGACUUCUGGGAUUCACAUUGUCUCAACUUUUUUUAUGUGGACAAACCUUACUAAAGGGUUUGUGAUCAUUUUGUUCUUGUUUUUGUUGAGUCUUUAGUUCCAUUUCAACACUUUGGGGCCACAAAUGAGGAGCCACCAGCUGAAAUGGCCCAACGGGAUUGUAUGGUAUGGCUGAAAUGUAUUUUGGAUGAAGAGGUUACAUCAGAACCUCCUGUACACAUCUUUUCAACAUCGGCUCACUGUUGUCUUUGCUGUCCAAUAUUUGUAACUUUCUAGAAUUAACAAUCUGACAUUGAUGCCAACUUGAUACCACGGUGGACUAGCUCGGUGAGUUAUUUGGGACAAUGUUUAAUCCAACAUCCAAGUUUGUUGCAUGAGAAACAACGAUAACCUGGUUGUCUGGGCGGAGUUCUUCCUCUGCUGUUGAUUCUGUUGCUUCUUCCUGAAGUUUCUCUCUGCUUCAACCCUCAUUUGACUUCGCAUGGAAACGAUCCCUCUUCUUUGUCCCCACGUCUCACCAUCUCUUUAUGUGGCCUGUCGACGCUCACUGCUGCCGUUGCACCUGUAAAAGGAAGUUGUUUUCUUAAUUCAGCUUGACUGUUUUCACAUGUCUGGGUAGAUGUGUCUGUUGACCACUGACUGAGCAGAAAACUUGAAAUGCUUGAUCCUAAUUUAUCCAAAGGCUACAAUAGACUAAUCUGUUUACAAGUCACUCUAAAAAUAGAGAUUCUGAAAUGUUGCGUGUCUUCAGUACCAUUUCUGAGGGACUGUAACCCAACCCUCAGUCUGUAAAACAGCUGGGCUUGCUGCCUGUUUUUCUUAAUUUAGAGAUCAGUGAGGAUUUAAUGAGUUGGGUUUCCUUAUCUACAGAGAACAAGGUAAAUUGAGUCGACUCGCAUAAGAAGGCAAGGAUUUACUCCUUCCCCUUGUUCUCUGUAUUUGAGGAAGUCUGGUCAUGGACCCUUACAGUGUUUUGCCAGUUUCCAAAACCAGACAAGGAUCCAUCUGGUUUUGGGGAUAUCUUGGCAAACAUUAGCGAUUAUUGGGAACAUGGUAAAGAAUUGCAUAAGAGCAAAAUACACCAUGAUCACUUGUAGAGGGUGAGUCUGAAGCAUUUGGAUGAAUCAGGAUCAAGCGCUUCUAGUUGUCUGCUUCAUCAAUGAUCGUUUGCCACGUCUUACCAAACACAUGAAAACAGUCACGCUGAGCUGGGAGACGCC